AGGACGAACGCUGGCGGCGCGCUUAAUACAUGCAAGUCGAGCGAGAACCAGGGCUUCGGCUCUGGGGACAGCGGCGAACGGGUGAGUAACACGUGGGUAAUCAACCCCCGACACCGGGAUAGCCCAGGGAAACUUGGAUUAAUACCGGAUGCUCCGUCUGGCUUUAGGGCCGGCCGGAAAAGGGUAGCUUCGGCCUCCGGUCGGGGACGAGCCCGCGGCGGAUUAGCUUGUUGGUGAGGUAAAGGCUCACCAAGGCGACAAUCCGUAGCUGGUCUGAGAGGACGAUCAGCCACACUGGGACUGAGACACGGCCCAGACUCCUACGGGAGGCAGCAGUAGGGAAUCUUGCGCAAUGGGCGAAAGCCUGACGCAGCGACGCCGCGUGAGGGAAGAAGGCCUUCGGGUUGUAAACCUCUUUCAGGAGGGACGAAGCCACUCGGGUUAAUAGCCUAGAGGGUGACGGUACCUCCAGAAGAGCCCGGCUAACUACGUGCCAGCAGCCGCGGU
rnacentral:rRNA from 1 species